rnacentral:rRNA from 1 species
GACGAACGCUGGCGGCGUGCUUAACACAUGCAAGUCGAGCGGUAAGGCCCUUUCGGGGGGUACACGAGCGGCGAACGGGUGAGUAACACGUGGGUGACCUGCCCUUAGCUCUGGGAUAAGCCUGGGAAACUGGGUCUAAUACCGGAUAUGACUCCAUGACGCAUGUUGUGGGGUGGAAAGCCUUGUGCGGCUAGGGAUGGGCCCGCGGCCUAUCAGCUUGUUGGUGGGGUGAUGGCCUACCAAGGCGACGACGGGUAGCCGGCCUGAGAGGGCGACCGGCCACACUGGGACUGAGACACGGCCCAGACUCCUACGGGAGGCAGCAGUGGGGAAUCUUGCGCAAUGGGCGAAAGCCUGACGCAGCGACGCCGCGUGAGGGAUGACGGCCU